rnacentral:rRNA from 1 species
AAGAGACAGCAGUAGCCGCGGGAAUACAGAGGGUGCGAGCGUUAAUCGGAUUUACUGGGCGUAAAGCGUGCGUAGGCGGCUAAUUGAGUCGGAUGUGAAAUCCCCGAGCUUAACUUGGGAAUUGCAUUCGAUACUGGUUAGCUAGAGUGUGGGAGAGGAUGGUAGAAUUCCAGGUGUAGCGGUGAAAUGCGUAGAGAUCUGGAGGAAUACCGAUGGCGAAGGCAGCCAUCUGGCCUAACACUGACGCUGAGGUACGAAAGCAUGGGGAGCAAACAGGAUUAGAUACCCCUGUAGUCCCUGUCUCUUAUAC